rnacentral:rRNA from 1 species
AGUGAACGCUGGCGGUAGGCCUAACACAUGCAAGUCGAACGGCAGCACAGUAAGAGCUUGCUCUUACGGGUGGCGAGUGGCGGACGGGUGAGGAAUACAUCGGAAUCUACUUUUUCGUGGGGGAUAACGUAGGGAAACUUACGCUAAUACCGCAUACGACCUACGGGUGAAAGCAGGGGAUCUUCGGACCUUGCGCGAUUGAAUGAGCCGAUGUCGGAUUAGCUAGUUGGCGGGGUAAAGGCCCACCAAGGCGACGAUCCGUAGCUGGUCUGAGAGGAUGAUCAGCCACACUGGAACUGAGACACGGUCCAGACUCCUACGGGAGGCAGCAGUGGGGAAUAUUGGACAAUGGGCGCAAGCCUGAUCCAGCUAUACCGCGUGGGUGAAGAAGGCCUUCGGGUUGUAAAGCCCUUUUGUUGGGAAAGAAAAGCAGCAGGUUAAUACCCCGCUGUUCUGACGGUACCCAAAGAAUAAGCACCGGCUAACCUCGUG